rnacentral:lncRNA from 1 species
ACCAAGAUCAGGGCACAAAACAGUGCCAUUGGAAGAGUCUUUUUUGGGUUUUCCACCUCCCCUGCAAUAGUACUGAUUGAGUCCCAGUAGUUCAGGUUCCAAAAGAGAGUGCUCAAAUACAAACUCCAAUUCACAUCCUUUUCUAUCACCAACCAUCUGGAGGGCUUCAACUUUGGAAUCGAAACGAGUCCCAUAAUUACAAAUGGAAGGAUUGAAAACAAACCCAGCAGAACGGAAGCCCAUCCCACAAUGGUUAAACCCCUGUAGUUCAUGUAAGUGAGAACUACAAUCAAAGCCAAUACCGCUGCAAUUCUUGGUAAGCCACCACUUAAAGCAGGGACAGUGGGACUCAAAUAGUCCAGAAACAGAAGUGGGUAUAGAGCAUUGUCAAUAACUCCACUAAACCAUUUCAUCCAGCCUAGCUGAAACCCCCAAUAAGGCCCCAAAGCAGACGACACCCAAACCACAUACCCACCAUUUUCAGGGAACAUGGUGCCCAUUUCAGCUGUGAUUAACGCCUCAGGAAUGCUCCAUAUGAAGGGGAAGAUCAAAAACCCGAGCAAGGCCAGAAGAGGGCCUGCAGCUCUCACAGCGUCCUCAAUGCCAAAUGCACCCCCUGAAACCUCAUAGAAGAUGAGGAAAACAAGUGGUAAGACUGAAACUUUCUUGAAGUUAUCUACUCCAAGAGGAGCUACUUCAUCAACAUCCACACCCACAUAUUCCGCACCUUUGCAUUCCCCCAUUGCAGGAGCCUCUUCCUUUGACGUCUGCACUCAAAUUCAAGUUCUCAACAUAAUAAACAUCGGGUUUUAAUAUAUUUCAUAAAUAAUUAAUUAAGGUGGCACUUGAAUUUUUUUUAAAUAUAAAUUUUUAUACAAAAUAUAAUAAUUCUUAUGAAAAAAGCAUAAAUUUGACUUGUGCAAUUAAAAACUUUUCUUUUAAUUUUAAAAUUUAAGAAAGUAAUAAUUCUUUAAAUUUUAAAUAUUUUAGAAAGUGUUUUCAAGCACAUAACAUUGAUACAUGCCUUUUGUACAAAAAUUCUUUUAUUUUAAUUAUAUUUUAUUUUGAUGAAAAUGAAAAUUAAUGGGAGUGAAUUAUAUAAAGAAUUUUAUUAUAAUAAAAUAAAUUAAAUAUUUUUUUCAAUUUAAUUUUCAAGUCCUUUAUUGAAUUUGAAAAUCACUCAUUAAAUGCUAAUAAUACUUCACUAAACACUUCUUUUAAAAAUAAUAGUUCAAACAAAUUAAGAACCCAUCUAAUAAUAAUUUUAAGAAUCGUUUUUAAUUUUUACACUUGAAAAUUUUUAUCAUUUAAAUGUUAAAAAAAUUAAAAAUAUUUUUUUAAAAUUAUUAUUAAACACAUUUUUAGUAUAAAUUAAAUACUAAUUAAUUAGUAUCAAAAAAAAUUUAAAUUUUUUUUCACUCAAUAUAAUUGGUAAAAACCAAAAAUGAAGAUUUUUAAAUAUAUAUAUAUAUAUAUAUAUAUAUAUAUAUAUAUGAAAGGUCCAAUAAUCACAUAUCCUACCAUAAUGAAUUAAUCAAUAAUUCAAAUUCCAAUUAAUAAAAUAAAAAUAUUAAAAAAAAAAUCAAUUUAACCAGAUCGAUUUUAAUAAAAAUAUUCAUGAGACCUUUUUCUUGACUAUAAAAAAAUUUCUAAAAUAUCUUAAAAUUUUAAAAUAAAAUAAAAAAUUGAAAAUUAUAAAGACACCACUGCGGCAGCAAGCAACUAUACACACCUCAACGGUUGGAGUCGGGACUCCGACGACAUCGUUUUGAGGAGCGCUCGGUGGACUCUCCAUUGCAACGACGUAGUUUUGAGAAGCGGGUGGUGGACUGUCAACUGAAACGACGCCGUUUUGAGAUUCCGCACUAUACCGGCGCUUCAAGGGAGAGCAAGGGGGAAGGAGACGACCUAGACUGAGAAAUUGGUCAUGGAUUGGCUCAUGAGACAAACUUCCUUUUAUUUUGGGGUUUUUUUUUUCUUAUUUCAUUAUUAUAUAAUUUUUAUACGUCAAAUUUGUUGUUUUUAGUCUAAAUUAUUAUUUUAAUUACAAGUGAGAUCAUGUUUGAAACACAUGCCUUUAACAACCAACCAAAACCAAUAUUAUUUCGUUAUUUAAUAAUAAAAAAGGUCUAAGAAUUUUAAAAACCAUCCUUAUUGAUUCAAUUUUCAAUUUUUGAUUUUCUUGUUUGUCAAUUGAUAUAAAUUGAAUCAAACCGACAUUCUAAUACUUAUAUAUAAUUAUUUAAUAUUUAAUAAGUUUUUUUUUAAAUUUUUAUAUUCGAUUCUAUUAAAGUAAUUCAUUAUUUUAUAUUAUAAUAAAAUUAAUUCUAAAUGCAUUCUAUAUAUUAUUAACAUCAAAUCCACGUUGAUUUGAAUUAAUUUUAAAAAUAAAUUAGACUUAAGUUAAAGUCCAUGACAUAUAUUUAAAAAAUAUAAAGCAUAAUCGAAGUCAAAGACAUUGAUUAUACCAUUAAAUUAGACCAAUUAAACAAACAUUAUAUAUUAAAAAAAUAAAACUUAUACCAAGCAAAUGACCUCAAUGUUACAAAAAUCACAUUUAACUAAUUACCAUUUGGUAGCACGUAGCAACCAUUCUACAUUUUUAAAUCACAAUGAUGGGAUACAAUUUUGACUAUAUUAUUAAGCUAAGGUAAAUAAGAUUGAUUUUAUCGAUUUUUGAGUAAAAAAAUAAAUUGAAUCAAUAUAAUUGGAUUACAUGUGAUAAAAAUCUAAUCGACUAGAUUUGAAAUUAAAAAAAAAAAAAUUUGAACGAAACCAAACCCUUUAAAAUCGGUUUUGUUUGGUUUUCAUCAAGGGAGAUUAGUGCUAAAGAGUGUUUCUAUUAAAGUAUUUAUUUUAGGAGUAUUUUUUAAAGAAUCACUUAUAAAUGCUUCUCUUAGGAGUAAGUGAUUUUUCUACUUUAAAUUUUUUUUUUUAAAUUUUGUCAAAUAUCUUAUUUUUUUUAAAAAAACAAUUUUUAUACUGAAGGUGCUUUCUAAAAGAAUUGCAAAACGGACUUAGCCAAAAACACUUUUGAAGAGAACACUUUCAUUAAAAGCCUUUCGAAUAAAAAACACAUCCAUUAAGAACCUUUUUCAAAACAAUUAUGAUUCUAGCGCUUUAAUUAUAACCAUUUUGUUAAUAGCAUUUUCAUUAGAAAUGUUUUUAAAGAUAAUUACUUAUUGUUUGGAUAUGAAUUAAAAAUUUGAUAGUGGCUUUUUGUAAUAUAUUAUAUAUAAAAAAAAAGUGAUCUUUUGAAAAGAAAAUCACCUACCAAUUGAUUGUCCACAUGAAUUAAUUCAAUUAUUCCUCAAAAUGUUAAAAGUGAUUUUCAAAAAUUUGUUAAACCCAAAAACACACUCCCAAGCAUCAGGAACCAUCCUUCCAAAAUAACUCCCAAAUAGAUUUUAAAAGCUUUUCCUAAUAUUCAAAAACAUUUUCUAACAAAAAUUAGGUAUGUAAUAAAUUUUUGAAAAUUUCUUUUUCAAAGUCCAAGGAAUCACUUAGUAGGUGAUUCAUUUAAAAUAAUAAUAAUAAUAAUUUGUUAUAUAAUAUAUUAUUAAAAUACUUUUUUUUUAUACUUUAUAUUUAAACAUUAAGCAAUUAAAAUGUUUUACUUCUAAUAAAAACAUUAUUAAUAAAAGUAUUUAAAAAAAAAAACUUUUUAAUAGUAAUCAGUUUCAAACAAACUCUUAAUAUUUUAGAAGUUUUAAUCAUAAUCAACACAUAAAGACCAGAAAUCUAAACUCCAUUUUAGACUUUGUAGCCAAGCAUAAGCUUUUUGUUUAGUUGUCAUUUUCCCUGGCUUGUUUAUCUUAUUGGUUUAUUAGUCUUUAUUCUUUGGAAAUGGAAGGAUUUCCAAAGUCUUCUUCCCGUGUUGAUGAAGUUUUAUAUAUUGCUUGACUUUCAACUCUUCACCCUCUUCAUUUGAACUAAUAAUAGUAAUAAUAAUAAUCUUGCCUUGUUGAUGAAGUUUUACAUCUUGGUUGACUUUCAACUAUUCACCCACUUCAUUUGAAAUAAUAAUAAUAAUAAUAAUAAUAAUAACAAUAACAAUAAAGUAUAGUGUUGGAAAUCAAGCCAGCAUCCUCUGUUUACUUCCCUAAUUAGUGUAAUGUACAACCUUUAUUAUAAUUGAUUUAGGAGUAAUUCUAGCAAGGUAGUUUAUUCACCUUCCAUGUAAGAGUAGUUUAUUCACUUCCCAUGUAAGAGUUUAUUCACUUUCCAUGUAAGGGAAAUUCCAUUCCGGAAUUGUCUCAUAUCUGUAGGCUAUUUAUUUAUGUUUUCAUUCAUUGUAAAGGGUGGGAUCACAGAAUGAAUUGAGGUGUUCCUCCAUAGUUUGUCUUCAAAUUUUUCUUCAAAUUCUUCAUGGUAUCAGAGCAGGUUUAAUCCUGUCUCAUCGUCUUCAUCUUUAGUCAGUUUUUUUUACUCAAUUCUAUUCUUCUAAUUUAUGCCUAAAUACGGUCCAGCCUUUGGAAUGGCUACCAACUCAUCAUCCUCUACUUCUGGUAUCAUCAUCUCAUCGUCUUCAUCCUCUCAUCAGAUGGAAACCUCUCAUCUUCCAAUCACAGCCCAUAAAUUGAAUGGGCAAAAUUAUUUGCAAUGGUCUCAGUCCAUAUUAAUGUUUAUACAGGGAAAGGAGAAAGAUGACUACAUCAUCGGAGCUUCGGCGGCACCAGAAACCACAACAUCAACCUACAAAAAGUGGAUAGCAGAAAAUAAUAUGGUCAUGUCCUGGCUAGUCAACUCUAUGACCGCUGACAUUGGUGAAAAUUUUCUGUCAUUUGAUACUGCCAAAGAAAUCUGGGACACUGCAAAAGAAACUUUCUCAGACAAGGAAAACACAUCUGAAAUCAUCCAGAUUGAAGGCAUCCUCCACAAUUUGCGUCAAGGAAACCUUACGGUAACUGAAUAUUUCAAUACUCUUACUCGUCUAUGGCGUCAACUUGAUACGUUUGAGGUUCAUAACUGGAAUUGUGUUACAGAUGGUUUUUUGUAUAAAAAGAUUGUCGAAGGGAAACGUGUGUUUAAAUUUUUGUUAGGUUUGAACAAAAAUCUUGAUGAAAUCAGAGGAAGAAUCAUGGGAGUAAAACCCCUACCUAGCCUCAGAGAGGCAUUCUCUGAAGUCCGUCGCGAAGAAAGUCGGAAAAAUCUCAUGAUGGGAUCCCAUCAACAACUGAAUAUGGUAGAAAGCUCGGCUCUUAAGACUCAAUUCGCUCCUUUUGACAACCGUCAAAAAAUUAAAGGAGGUAGACCUUGGUUUGAUCAUUGCAGAAAGUCGGGACACUCAAGAGAAACUUGCUGGAAGAUUCAUGGAAAGCCAGUAGAUUGGAAGCCACGUCAACCACUUGAGAAAGAAGGACGAGGCAAUCAUGUGGCUACCGAUGAACAAUCGCCACAACCUGAAGCUAGCCCUUUUAAUAAGGAGCAAAUGGAGAUGCUUCAGAAACUACUGUCUCCUCUUUUGUCAGUACAGUCACAAACUGGCUCAUCUUCCAACCAGGUCAUUGGUUCCGAAACCUUGGCUCACAGAGGUAAUUUUUUGAGUGCCUUCACUGCUGGUAAGAAACGUAAAAAACCUUGGAUAGUGGACUCAGGAGCAUCUGAUCAUAUGACGGGAGAUGCGACAAUUUUUGAUACAUAUAGCUCAUGUCCAAAUAAUUUAACAGUCCGAAUAGCAGAUGGUUCACUAUCAAAGGUUGUCGGAACAGGUUCAGUUGUGCUAUCAAGGGAUCUUACUCUCAACUCAGUUCUCCUUGUUCCUAACUUGGACUGUAAUCUAUUGUCAAUUAGUAAACUCACUAAGGAAAAGAGGUGUAUUACUAAUUUUUCCUCCACUCACUGUGAAUUUCGGGAUUUGGAUUCGGGGAAGACGAUUGGCAAUGCUGAGGAAUGCUCUGGACUCUACAUCCUUAAGGAGCACCACGAUCCACAAGAACAACCUCAAAUGAUAGUUGGUAGUAAUUCUUUUUCGGUUUCAUGUCAAAAUAACGAUAGUGCAAUUAGGUUGUGGCACUAUCGCUUAGGUCAUCCAAAUGUUAUGUAUCUCAAGCAUUUAUUUCCUUCAUUAUUUAAUAAAAAUCCAAAAUCCUUUGAGUAUGAAAUCUGUCAAUUAUAAAAGCAAGUCCGGUCUCAUUUUCCCAUUCAACCCUAUAAAGAGUCUAGUCCAUUCUCAAUGAUUCAUAGCGAUAUCUGGGGUCCGUCAAGAAUAAAAAAUGUAACUGGUACUAGGUGGUUUGUCUCAUUCAUAGAUGAUCACACUAGAUUAACUUGGGUAUUCCUCAUGAAAGAAAAAUCUGAAACGAGUCAAAUUUUCAAAAAUUUUAAAAAUAUGAUUCAAACCCAAUUCCAGUCAAAAAUACAAAUUUUAAAGUCUGAUAAUGCUAGGGAUUAUUUCAACUCCAUUCUAGGAGAAUUUCUAGCACAAGAAGGGAUAGUUCACUUAAGUUCAUGUGUUGAUACCCCACAACAAAACGGAAUCGCUGAAAGGAAAAAUAGGCAUUUGUUAGAGGUGGCUAGAUUCCUUUCCGACUACUCGUCUCAUCUCCACCGUCCCACCCAAAAUUUUCGGGUGCUCUGUCUUUGUUCAUAUCAAUCAACAACAUAGAAGUAAACUUGAUCCUAGGUCACUCAAGUGCAUCUUUCUUGGGUAUUCUUCAAAUCAAAAAGGGUAUAAGUGUUACUCUUCGGUCACAAGAAAAUUCUACAAUUCAAUGGAUGUCACCUUUUUUGAAACCCAGCCUUACUAUCCCAAAAACGAUAUUCAGGGGGAGAAUUCAACUCAGGAAUAUCAAUUUUGGGAUCUUGAGUCAUUCAGUGAGUCACCCAUCACCACUGAAAAUCACAUUCCUCCAGAGUCAUUUAAUCAACCCGAGUCCAUUGUUGACUUGUAGGAUAAGGAGCACAUCCAAGAGGAAACGGAGAAAAGAGCACUUUCUCAACAAACCCAUGAGGUAGAACCGGGUCCUAAUCCAAGCAAACUUCCAGGUAACAACGCUCCUGAUGGUACUGUUGAUUCUGAGUUAGAAAAUGAUAUUCUUAAUAUGCCCAUAGCUUGGAGGAAAGGAGUUAGAUCAUGCACUCAGCAUCCCAUUGGAAAUUUUAUUUCUUAUGAUAAGCUAUCACCUACGUUUCGUGCAUUCACUUCUAGCAUCACAGAGAUACAAGUUCCUCAAAAUAUUCAGGAAGCUUUCAAGUAUCCUAAGUGGAAGGCGGCAGUCAAUGAGGAAGUUCGGGCGCUGGAAAAGAAUGGUACAUGGGAAAUUACUGACCUCCCAAGAGGUAAGAAACCAGUUGGGUGUAAGGGGAUUUUCACAGUAAAGUACAAGGCAGAUGGUAAUGUGGACAGGUAUAAGGCUCGGUUGGUCGCUAAAGGAUUCACCCAAUCCUAUGGCAUUGACUAUCAAGAAACUUUUGCUCCAGUUGCCAAGCUCAAUACUGUUCGUGUACUUUUAUCCUUGGCAGCUAAUCUCGAUUGGUCGCUUCACCAACUUGAUGUGAAGAAUGCCUUCCUCAAUGGUGACUUAGAGGAAGAAGUUUACAUGGACAUUCCUGCUGGACUUGAGACGACAUCAAAUUUCAACAAGGUUUGCAGACUCCGAAAAUCCUUGUAUGGUCUCAAACAAUCUCCCAGGGCCUGGUUUGAACGGUUCACUAAGGUAGUGAAAGGGUACGGAUUCGUUCAAUGUCAAUCCGAUCACACAUUAUUUGUGAAACACUUCCCAGAAGGGAAACUGACAAUUAUCAUUGUAUAUGUGGACGACAUAAUUUUGACAGGUGAUCAUGAAGAGAAAAUUGACUUACUUAAAAAAUUACUGACAAAGGAAUUUGAGAUCAAGGAUCUUGGAAAUCUCAAGUACUUUCUCGGAAUGGAGAUUGCUAGGUCAAAGAAAGGUAUAGCAGUCUCACAAUGCAAAUACGUUCUGGACUUAUUGAAUGAAAUAGGAAUGCUAAGAUGCAAGCCGGCAGAAACACCUAUGGAUACAACUAUCAAACCGGAAGAAAGUGAUGGAAGUGCGCCAGUUGAUAAAGGAAGAUAUCAAUGUCUUGUGGGGAAACUCAUCUAUCUUUCUCAUACAAGGCCAGACAUCGGCUUCUCCGUUAGUGUGGUAAGUCAAUUCAUGAAUAAUCCAACCGAAAAACACAUGAUUGUUGUGAUCAGAAUAUUGAGAUACCUCAAGAUGACACCGGGAAAGGGUCUCUUCUUUCAAAGAACAACAAAGAAAGAGAUUGAGAUUUUUUCAGAUGCCAAUUGGGCAGGUUCAGUGACUGAUCGGAGAUCAACUUCAGGCUAUUGUUCAUUUGUCUGGGGGAACUUGGUUACAUGGUGAAGCAAGAAACAGUCAGUGGUAGCCCGUAGCAGUGCUGAGGCAGAAUUUCGUGCUAUGGCACAAGGUAUCUGCGAGGGAAUCUGGUUGAACAGGCUGUUAGAAGAAUUACGGGUUCCAUUGAAGCAUCCCAUGGUGUUAUACUGCGACAAUCAAGCUGCCAUCAGUAUCGCUAAGAAUCCAGUUCAUCAUGAUCGAACUAAGCACGUGGAGAUAGAUCGACACUUUAUCAAGGAAAAGAUUGAAGAAGGAGUUUUCAAAGUCAGCUACACUCCGACAAACUGUCAAACGGCUGACAUUCUCACAAAAGUUCUUGCUCGAGUUAACUUCGAAGAUCUGACAGAAAAACUUGGAAUGAUCAACAUUUACAACGCGGCUUGAGGGGGAGUGUUGGAAAUCAAGCCAGCAUCCUCUGUUUACUUCCCUAAUUAGUGUAAUGUACAACCUUUAUUAUAAUUGAUUUAGGAGUAAUUCUAGCAAGGUAGUUUAUUCACUUUCCAUGUAAGAGUAGUUUAUUCACUUCCCAUGUAAGAGUUUAUUCACUUUCCAUGUAAGGGAAAUUCCAUUCCGGAAUUGUCUCAUAUCUGUAGGCUAUUUAUUUAUGUUUUCAUUCAUUAUAAAGGGUGGGAUCACAGAAUGAAUUGAGGUGUUCCUCCAUAGUUUGUCUUCAAAUUCUUCAUAUAGAAAGAAAAGGUAUAUGUGAAAAGGUCUUGGAAAAUUUGAGGAAAAAAUAAUUGAAAAUUUUGAGAAAAAAAAUAUCAAAAAAAAAAGAAAGAAAAGUAGAAGAGAAAUGAGAAAUAAAUUUAAGUCAAUAAAUUAUUUUUAUAUAUUUCUUUAAACUUAUUUUAUUUAUUUUAUUUGAAAAAACAUAUUUUUAAUUAAUAUUAGUAACAUUUUACUUUCUUUUUCCUAAUAAAAUCAAACAUGAAAAAACCAUUAUAUUAGGUUAUGUUUGGUUCUUAAAAAACAUGAAUAAAAGAAAAUAAAAAACAAAAGGGGAAGAAAAGAAAAAGACAAGGAAAGAAAUCCUAAUAUAAAAUCACAAAUUUUAUAUAAAGUUAAAAAAUAACAAAUAUAAAAUAAAAUAAAUAAUAAUAGAAAUAAAUUAAUAAAGUAAAUAAAAAUAAAAAAUUGAGGUGAGAAGCAGAAGUGGUGGGAGGUUUAUUUUGAAUGGUUCAUCAUAAACUUGUCAGGUAAGCCGAUUUUGAACGUUCGAAGCCAAUUCAAAGACUAGUUGAUUCAAAGGGUCAAAGCGGAAUGGUGAUUGGUUGUUUCACUAAUCAAUUUCCCACCUCUUAUUUUCCCACGAAAAUGUCUAGAAAGGAAAAUAGGGGGGGAAAUUAGAAGGAAAUAAAAUAUGAAAGAAAAAAAAAAUUUAUAGUCAAUAAAUCAUUUUUAUAUGUUACUUCGAAAUUCAUUUAAUUUAUUUUAACUCAUCUAUAUAAAAAUAAAAUAAUUUAAAAAUAUAUAAGUUUUGAAUUAGUUUUAAUUAUAUUUGAUUUUCUUUUCCAUUUUUUUUUAUAAUAAAACCAAAUAUUAGAAAAUCAUAUUCCUUUUAAGGUUAUAUUUGGUUUUCGAAAAAAAUUUUAUAUACCGCUUCAAACUCAUUUAACUUAUUUUAAUUCUUCAAUAUAAAGAUUAUAUAACUUGAAAAUACAUGAAUUUCUAAUUAAUUUUAACUAUAUUUUAUUUUGUUUCAUAUUUUCUAUAAUACAACCAAAUAAGAGAAAAUAAUUUUCUUUAAUAUAUUUUUUCUUUUCUUAAUAAUUUUCGGAACCAAAUAUAAUAUACAUUUUUUUUUUCUUUCGUUAAUACUAUCCCUAAUUAUACCGUUUGAAAGAGAGGUAAUUAAAGAAUGAAAAAAAGAUAGUUAGGUUUCAACUACAAGGGGGAGCAUUAAGCUAAGAUACAUUAAGUUAAGAUUUGUCACGACUUCUCAUAAGCCAGAAGUUUAAUAAUAAAAACCCUAAAAAUAUUAUUUUUUGUAAAGGGUAUAAUUUAACUUAUACAAAAAGUUAUUUCUUAUUUAAUUAAAGUUGUAUAAUAUUAAUAUUAUCUUUUAAAAAUUAUAAGUUUGACUUUAGAUUAGUUCUCAAUGUAUUUACCCAUUUGCCCUUCCUUAACAUAUAAUAAAUUUAAAACAAUAUUAUUUUUUGAGUUUUUUUUUUUGUUAUUUAAAAAAAAAAAAACUACAUGAGUCAAAUUCGGGUUAAAUAGAUGAUAAGAAUGACAUAUAUUUUUCAAUCUUCCCUUGGGAAAAAGACUAAUUCCAAAAUUUGAAAAUUCCACUUCUUAAUAAUAUUUCCUUCGUCUUGAGCUCAAUGACAAAUUUCUCAAGAAGACACUAUACUUUCUAUUAUUGCCAAGUGUUCAAAGCUUCAAAACCCUUCAUAAACGACCUCCCAUUAAGGCAAUUGUGCUCAUCCAUCUGAAAUUUACACUCUUAGGCCUUGUUUGCCUACUUAGUUUUUUAGAACAUUUUUUUUUGUUCUCUAUAACAAAAAAAAAAAACACAUUUAUUUAGGAAUAUUUUUUUAGAAUAAUUUUUUGAUCGUUUUUUAGUUGUUUUCUAUUAUUUUCACUUGUUUUAUAAGGUUAUUUUAAUAAAUAAUUAUACAAAUAUGUAGAAUGAUUAAAUAUAAAACAUCAUAUAUAAACAUUAUUUUUAAAAAAUAUUUUAAGUUUCCAAACAUACUUUUUUUCUACAAAAAUUAGAGAAUAGUUUUCAAAAAUUGUUCUAAAAAACUAUUUUUCAGAAUUGUUUUAAAAAAUAAUUACCAAAUAAACCCUAAUAGUAACCAAAAAAACUUUUUUCAUUUUCUAUUUUUAAAAAUAGAAAACAAGGUAUUUUCUAUUUUUUUUCGUUUUCAUUUGCUUUCACUUAUUUUUAGAGGAUUAUUUUAAAAAAUAAUUAUACAAACAUAAAGAAUGAUUAAAAACAAAACACUAAAUAUAAUAAAAUAUUUUAAAAACAGAUUAAAAUUAUUUUAAGUUCCAAACAAACUUUUAUUCUACAAAAAUAGGGUGCAAAAAUAUUGGUUUGGUCAGGUUUUUUUUUCUAUCUCCCAAGGUUGAUUCCAUUUUCAUUUUCAUAUGCUCGUUCUGAGAUUGUUACCUGGGGAGAGUAUGUCAGAGGGGUUUCUGCUAAUCUGGGAAGGGUUUGUCGGGUUUCUGGGGAACGAAUCGAUGAAGUGAAAGACGAUCAACUGAAAACUAACUGAAGAAUCAAUAGGGCAACCUCAUUGAACUCAGGUGAACUUGUUCUACAGAACUAUUUUCUGAGAAACCAAACAGAAUAGAAACUUCAAAGAGUUCCCAGACACAAAAGAGAUUCAAGAAGACUAAGAAUUGAAGCAGCAUAGGAACCAGAACAAAUGAUCCUAGAUAUCGGUUUCGUUGAACAGUAAAGGACUUUGAGAAUGUGCCCACAAAUGAUCAUUUAAGAAAAACUCAGUUAAUAGUCCGAUUUCCAACAAAGAAUCACAGACUUAACUUCUUCCAGCCUCUGUAGACUUAAAACCUUCAUCUAAAUUUAGAGCAAAUGAACCAAACCAAUGCUUAAAACACGCAAAUCAAACCAACUAUCAUGAUUGGAAAUGAAGGGUUGUGACUUGUGAGCUAAUGUGUUCAUAAUUGAAGUUCCAUAAUGCAAAUGGUUUGAUACAUCUGAGUAAUGUAUACAUUCCACAUAUUAUUUCCUAAAAUCAACUACUAUCUAAUAUUUUUCAGGUUCUUAAAAAAGUACUAAAAGAGACACUGAUGCAAUUUUCUACUCAUGUUUGAUUCUAAGUUUUCGAUCAUCACACCUAUCUAUCAAGACUCUAAAAAUAGGGAUGAUAAAUAUGUAUUAGCUACAUACCUAUAAGCAUUCGAAGAAGAGAAAUAACCUAAUCAGAUACAAAGCCACAAUCACACCUGCUAGGUGUCCAUGGAGCCCUCUUCCAAAUCAUACUUUUUCGGUAUGCCCAUCCUGUAUUAGCACUUUUUGCUGUAGUAAUGGAAUUGUUGUUUCAUGUUAAUCCACUAGAGGUACGACGUUCUCAUUAUUUUCACCAUUAAGGUCAGGGAGAUUGGAACUCACUGAGAAUUUAAGCCAUUUCUUUCUCUCAGCACAUUUCAGACAAGGCUGCACCAGAAGUCCAAUGAUCACAACAGUAAGACUCACUACCACAACUUUGAGUGAAGAAAGAGCCACCGUGAUACAGAUCAAUAUGGUUGGAGGAAUACACAUAAGAAUAGAUCCAAUUGUCCCAAGAGGUAUCUUGUAUGGGCGAGAAGCAACUGGGUAUUUAAUCCUCAAUCGAACAAAUGCUAUGAACUCCAAAAUCAUUCCAAAACAAUACAAGAAGUUUUCUGCAGCUAUCGUCUCUUGAAAGCUCAUCCAUGAAAGCAAAAGCGCUCCAGAGGCUGACAAUAGAAUUCCAACGAGUGGGGUGCCAUAGCGCGACCUUUUGGCAAAGACACUGGGAAGCAUUCCCCGCUCUGCCAUCCCCAAAAGUUGGAAGGAAUCACUGCUCAUUUCAGCUAUAAACAUCCCCAGAUUCGACGCUGCAGCAGCCCCUGUAAUCCACCAACUCAACCAGACCCCCCCUAUCAUUUUGGCAACAUUUGAGAAAUGCCCAUCAGUCCAAGCCUCACGAUUAAGAGAAAGAGCACCAGUGCCAAUUAAUAGAGGGAAGAAAUAGCUGCGGACGACCAAGAUCAGGGCACAAAACAGUGCUAUUGGAAGAGUCUUUUUUGGGUUGUCCACCUCCCCUGCAAUAGUACUGAUUGAAUCCCAGUAGUUCAGGUUCCAAAAGAGUUUGGUCAAAUACAGUCUCCAAUCCACAUCCUUUUCUACCACCAACCAUCUGGAGGGCUUCAACUUUGGAAUCGAAAGAAGUCCCAUAAUUACAAAUGGAAGGAUUGAAAACAAAC